rnacentral:rRNA from 1 species
UACGUAGGGAGCAAGCGUUGUCCGGAAUCAUUGGGCGUAAAGAGCGCGUAGGCGGUCCGGUAAGUCGGUUGUGAAAACUGGGGGCUCAACCCUCAGAGGCCGACCGAUACUGCCGGGCUAGAGUCCGGAAGAGGCGAGUGGAAUUCCCGGUGUAGCGGUGAAAUGCGCAGAUAUCGGGAGGAACACCAAUGGCGAAGGCAGCUCGCUGGGACGUGACUGACGCUGAGACGCGAAAGCCAGGGGAGCGAACGGG